CCUGUUUUGAUCACCGACUUUCUUUUUGUUUUAAUUAUCAAUCAUUGACUCUCUCUCUCUCCCUCUCUCUCUCUCUCUCUCCAUACUAGUUUCGCAGUUCGCAUCACUCACUCCAAAAUGAAAACUUUGAUCCUCGCAUUUAUGUGGAUUGGGUAUUUUUUUGUUCGUUUCCAUCUGUUGACGCGAAGCCCUAAUAACGUCACACACACAAUAGGCUCCAUGGAGGAUCUCCGAAUUGGGAUUAAUUCAAGAUUGAAUGCUUUUAUGGGUUAUCUAAAUCUCGGAGAAUGACCCAUCAAAGGUUACCUGGAAGCUUAUUCUUGAAUGGACUGAGGGGAAUGAGGAUAGUUCCCUACUUGAAGCAAUCAACGAGCCCUUGAUGAGGGUUCUAAAACUAGCUGAAUGUGAGAUAUAUGCGUACAAGGUCUGUGCUCAUAAACAGCUCAGCCAAAGAUGUGUCCAACAGUCAGUCAAAAAGACACGUAGAAGAGGUAUUUCCAAGGAACUAAUAGUCAACCAAAGGGUAUCGCUGUUGUAGAGAUUAUUAAUGCAAAACUUGGUAAGAGGUUCUUCUUACCAAGUUUUGGGGUUUAGGUUUUAGGGUUUAGGGUUUAGGGUUUAGGGUUUAGGGUU